AUACGGAGGAUCCGAGCGUUAUCCGGAUUUAUUGGGUUUAAAGGGUGCGCAGGCGGCCAUUUAAGUCAGCGGUUAAAUCGUGGGGCUCAACCCCAUUCUGCCGUUGAUACUGGGUGGCUUGAUUGCGGUCGAGGUUGGCGGAAUUCGUUGUGUAGCGGUGAAAUGCAUAGAUAUGACGAAGAACACCGAUUGCGUAGGCAGCUGACCAGACCGCAAAUGACGCUCAGGCACGAAAGUGCGGGGAUCGAACAGGAUUAGAUACCCUGGUAGUCCGCACAGUAAACGAUGAAUACUUGUUUUCGGCGAUAUAAUGUCGGAGGCAAAGCGAAAGCGAUAAGUAUUCCACCUGGGGAGUACGCCGGCAACGGUGAAACUCAAAUGAAUUGACGGGG
rnacentral:rRNA from 1 species